AGCUGGGUGGCUCAGUGGAUUGAGAACCAGGCCCAGAGAUGGGAGGUCGUAGGUUCAAACCCUGCCUCAGCCA
rnacentral:tRNA from 1 species